GACGAACGCUGGCGGCGUGCUUAACACAUGCAAGUCGAACGGAAAGGCCCUGCUUUUGUGGGGUGCUCGAGUGGCGAACGGGUGAGUAACACGUGAGUAACCUGCCCUUGACUUUGGGAUAACUUCAGGAAACUGGGGCUAAUACCGGAUAGGAGCUCCUGCUGCAUGGUGGGGGUUGGAAAGUUUCGGCGGUUGGGGAUGGACUCGCGGCUUAUCAGCUUGUUGGUGGGGUAGUGGCUUACCAAGGCUUUGACGGGUAGCCGGCCUGAGAGGGUGACCGGCCACAUUGGGACUGAGAUACGGCCCAGACUCCUACGGGAGGCAGCAGUGGGGAAUAUUGCACAAUGGGCGGAAGCCUGAUGCAGCAACGCCGCGUGCGGGAUGACGGCCUCGGUUGUAACCGACGUUCGCCUCGUGACGAAGCGUGAGUGACGGUAA
rnacentral:rRNA from 1 species